CCUAAUAAUAUCAGUAGGAGAAACGCGGCCAUUGCAGAUACAGAUCACAAGAAAUCAACAUAGAACUCAAGCCAACAACCUAGCUCUCAACAGGCGAAAUAUGGAUCCUGCAGAGAGGGUGGUGAAGGCGUCAUGGUACAAGGGUACUGUCGUGACUCAUAGGCCGAAGCCUGUUUCACCCAUCGUUAACCAAGGCAAGAACAAGAACAAGCAACCCAAGAAGCCCAAACCUGCGCCCAAGAAGUGAGCUUGAUUGCCCUGAUGCCUGCCUAUGCUACAGUUAGGGGUUUGUGAUUUCAUGAUUCAGUUCAGGCUUGAGCUGAACACUGAUACUGAAGAGUGCUUGGAUACAGUUUAAUUGGUUCUCUCUGCCCAAACAUGCCUGCGCCCUGCCUAGAGGAUGCCGGAUGUAUGUGUGCUGUAAGAAUAAAAUGAUUUGAGAUUGCUGCUCUGUAAUGUUCAUGCAGGCCUGGUUGAAAUUUUGGGAAUAAUAAAUUGUUUCUGAAAAUAAA